AUACAGCUUUUAUAGAAUCUUCAUGUUUCGAAAAAAAUGGUGGUUGUUUUAUAGUCUAAAAUAGCUUCCUCAAGAUUCAGGUAAUUAUAGUCAUAAAUAGGGCUUUUGGCUUUUUCAUAGUUCUAUUACUGUGUUGCAAAAGCAAAAGACAAAUCGGCUUUGUUUUAGAACGGGAAGAAGUUAUUGGGGUAUGUAUGGAUCCAUUUGGUAGUAAUACCCUGAAUCAGCCUAAAGCAAGUCUCAAUAGCCCUCAGGCUAAAGACGUAGGGAAGAAAAGUGUAGAUAAGAAGGCAAUAGUGGAUGAAGAAAUGAAGAGAAUGAAUAAACUUCCUGCAAAUAGUGCAUAUUCUACUCAUCGGUUGAGGGUUCUCGAUAAAGUCCUGUAACUUUUGUCCAUUCAGAGAUCCACAUCGCAGGAGGAGGGAUUGGAGUUUCUUUUUGCAAGUCUUUCUAUGUGAAUAGAAAUCCAGAUUGUCCAAGCAGUGGUCAGUUUGGUUUCAAGUAUUGCUCCCUCUUUCAAUAUUUUGAUGGUAUUAUACUCCAAAUCCCAAUCAUACAUCAGUCUGUGCAUUUUUGCAUUUAAGUAAUAGACUUUAUUAUGCUGUCCCAUCUUUGGUUACUAUAGUCGUAUUUUAAUUACAGGACAUUCGGUUCCAACUCUAUCUCUGACAUCUUUUGAGAACGUAAGAGCAACAUUGAUUCAAAGUGCUUUAUGGUCAGCUAUAUAUUUUGUCAAAAUUUCAACUUGCGGGAAACUUAUCAUACCCAUCCAACUUGAUAAAUUCAGUUUUUGCUUCA